UUCUCACAUAAAAUUGAUUAUUUUUUCAUCUGCUUCAAACAAUCAAUUAAGAAAAAUUUUUAAGAAACAAAAAAAAUAAAUUGAAACUACUUUUUUUUUUCCAGCCUAUGGCUCCUUCAACAAAAUCACACUUCUGAAGAUGUCCAAGAGACUGUCCCACCACAGAGCAGCAAUUCUGAAUCUGAAGUCAAGCCAGCAGAAGCUCAGUUCAGCUAUCUUCACUGGAAGCUUAUACAGAUGUAAGGCAUCACAGCGGUGACACUUCCACUGAAGUCUUCCCAGAUAACAUAAUUCAUAGAUUAAUCUCCAGUGAAGUUUCCUGAAGAAGGGAUGCAUCCAAGCUCCCAAACCGUGGUGCGAGUUUGGGGAGUCACGCUGAGUCACCUGCCUGCAGGUGGGUCUGAAAAAAGGAAGCACCCAAAACCAGACCGAACUCAAACUGUGCUGAAGGGAUUAAAGCCCGGAGUUUGGGGUGCCCAGCCUGUAGCUCUGCCUGCCCCGCCUCGAGGAGCUCUGGAGCACACCAGUUGCCCUCGCUGAGUCCCGCCAUGCUGAGGGCAAAGCACAAGGCGUUUGCAAUCAGAGCACACGAGUGGGCAUUCAGCCUCAGAUUUACUGAAGACGGCGGCGUAACAAGAGAAAAAGGAGAGAGGACACCCUGAGAUGUGGAUGGCUCUGCUUUGUGGACAGUCACAGCGUCAGGAAAUGGAGGUAUGAGUAAAGACUUUUGGGCAGGUUCACAGAUCCUGUUUGUCACAAAACCAUUGCUUUGGAGUCUUAGUAAACCGGGUGUCCUGAUUC
rnacentral:lncRNA from 1 species